GAGCCAGUGCACCACAGACCA
rnacentral:snRNA from 1 species